rnacentral:rRNA from 1 species
AUUGAACGCUGGCGGCAGGCCUAACACAUGCAAGUCGAGCGAGCGGCGGACGGGUGAGUAAUGUCUGGGAAACUGCCUGUUGGAGGGGGAUAACUCCUGGAAACGGUAGCUAAUACCGCAUACAAUCCGAUGUGCGCAGAUGGGAUUAGCUGGUAGGUGGGGUAACGGUUAACCUAGGGGACGAUCCCUAGAUGGUCUGAGAGGAGGACCAGGCACACUGGAACUGAGACACGGUCCAGACUCCUACGGGAGGCAGCAGUGGGGAAUAGUGGACAAUGGGCGCAAGCCUGAUGCAGCCAUGCCGCGUGUGUGAAGAAGGCCUUCGGGUUGUAAAGCACUUUCAGCGGGGAGGCGUUACCCGCAGAAGAAGCACCGGCUAACUCCGUGCCAGCAGCCGCGGUAAUUC